rnacentral:sRNA from 1 species
UUAAAAAUUAAAUUAUUACCGUAGACAGUAGGUGCUUAUGCUUAAUAUCCUGCCGAGGAUUAUCUUAUUUUUAUAAAAUGAGCCUUUGUAUGUCUAUGGAUAUAUAAAGGCUUUAAUUGUUUUAAA